AUAGCACCAUUUCUUCCACUAUCUCGACUUAAGGACAAACCUGAUCCCAAACUCUUCGCGCAGUAAAGAUUCCUGUUCAAAUUUUAUAUGUCCUAGAAGUUAAAACACAAAAAAAACAUAUUUUUCGCUGGAUCAGAAAACAGAAAUUCAAAGGCCUCUCUCCUGUUAGGCUGUAGAGAUGGAAGACUUUAUUUCUUCUCAGAGGGGGUUAAAGCAGAAAUAAAAGUCAAUCAACAAUUCUCACCAGCUGUGCCACCAUGUCCCAUGGUGGGGAAGCCACACAGGUCAUCUGAGCAUCCAAGCUGCUUUUCAAGAAAUCUCCAAUUCCAGGAAGAAUGAGAACAUCAUUCUGUUGUGGGGUGCUCAUCAGAGAAGACUUCUCGGACAUGGGUUUUAGCCAAUAGAAAAUCUUUCUUACCUGACCAAUGACUGACUACACUGUGUGUUCCGGAUCACGGUGUAGCACUGAGCCUUUCUCAGGGUUGAGCCUUUAAGCACAAAAAUCAUAGCCCAGGUUGACAUACUUCAGUUAUCAAGAACAGUUAGCCAGAAGCAGAACUACCGAAGCCAGAAAACAAGGGUGGUACUUCUAGGGACUCUCCCAGAACUAUGGACUUUGAUGAAUUGAGUUUUUGUUUUAGUUUUGACAGGUAGUGCCACCUACUACAUACAGCCUGAAUGGCAUUCAAUUAGGGAGUCAGCUGUGCUAAGGUCUCAGGGCCUGUUACAUUCCAAAGUUGCAGAACUAAAGAAUGUGUCUGUGAGAACAAAGCUCACCUGGUAGAUGAUUGUGGAAUUCCAGAA
rnacentral:lncRNA from 1 species